rnacentral:lncRNA from 1 species
CCUCUUGUGUCUUCUUCUUUGUUUUCUUCUUGCCUUUGUGAUUGCAAAUCAACACCAUUUCUUGUUCUUUGUAAUUGAGAUUGAGAAGCAAUCCAAGUGAAUAUAUUGGUUGUGGGUCAAUUUAGAUUGAUAAUUGGUAGAGGAAGAUAACGUGAAAUUGAGCUCAAAAAUCACCUAAUUGAAGAUUUUGGAGUGAUCUUCCUCAACAAUUGGUAUUAGAGUUUCAAGGUGAUGGUUUUUCAACCAAAAAUUGAUAUGAAAUAGAGUAGAAAAUGUCGAAAACAAGCAAAAAAAAAUCAGAAACUAAAUCUGUCCAAUUUUUGUUUCAAAAUAUUGAAACUUGACGGAGGCCAAAAUUGUGGUCUGUAGGUGGAGUGUGCCUGGGGUGGUCGACAAGUGAAGACGUGACAAUAUGUAGUUGGAGGCCCAUGACACUGAUUUCGACGAAGUGGUACUCAGGUAGAUUGCUCAAAAUGGUGAGGUGGACCUUGCGG